UACACGUGAGCAACCUGCCCCUCACUCUGGGAUAAGCGCUGGAAACGGCGUCUAAUACUGGAUACGAGUCGCAACCGCAUGGUUAGUGACUGGAAAGAUUUUUUGGUGGGGGAUGGGCUCGCGGCCUAUCAGCUUGUUGGUGAGGUAAUGGCUCACCAAGGCGUCGACGGGUAGCCGGCCUGAGAGGGUGACCGGCCACACUGGGACUGAGACACGGCCCAGACUCCUACGGGAGGCAGCAGUGGGGAAUAUUGCACAAUGGGCGGAAGCCUGAUGCAGCAACGCCGCGUGAGGGAUGACGGCCUUCGGGUUGUAAACCUCUUUUAGCAGGGAAGAAGCGAAAGUGACGGUACCUGCAGAAAAAGCACCGGCUAACUACGUGCCAGCAGCCGCGGUAAUACGUAGGGUGCAAGCGUUAUCCGGAAUUAUUGGGCGUAAAGAGCUCGUAGGCGGUUUGUCGCGUCUGCUGUGAAAUCCCGAGGCUCAACCU
rnacentral:rRNA from 1 species